rfam:Blumeria graminis f. sp. tritici 96224 unplaced genomic scaffold Scaffold-163, whole genome shotgun sequence.
UUGUCUUCUGCCUCGCUCGGCUAUCCUUUAUCAUAGAUAAUCUUGAGCUGGAUACACAGAACCAUGUGUAUAAGACUAGAAUAAAACCACCGAUUUUUGAGUGCGAGAUACUCAUACUCUCAAUAGAGGAUUUGCGCAAUUAAUUAGGUAGAACAAUU